UACGGAGGGGGCUAGCGUUGCUCGGAAUCACUGGGCGUAAAGCGCACGUAGGCGGAUUGUUAAGUCAGGGGUGAAAUCCUGGAGCUCAACUCCAGAACUGCCUUUGAUACUGGCGAUCUCGAGUCCGGGAGAGGUGAGUGGAACUGCGAGUGUAGAGGUGAAAUUCGUAGAUAUUCGCAAGAACACCAGUGGCGAAGGCGGCUCACUGGCCCGGUACUGACGCUGAGGUGCGAAAGCGUGGGGAGCAAACAGGA
rnacentral:rRNA from 1 species